rnacentral:rRNA from 1 species
GAUGAACGCUGGCGGCGUGCUUAACACAUGCAAGUCGAACGAUGAAGCCCAGAUUGCUGGGUGGAUUAGUUGCGAACGGGUGAGUAACUAGUGAGUAACCUGCCCUUAACUCUGGGUUAAGCCUGGGAAACUGGGUCUAAUACCGGAUAGGAGCGUCCACCGCAUGGUGGGUGUUGGAAUGAUUUAUCGGUUUUGGAUGGACUCGCGCCGUAUCAGCUUGUUGGUGAGGUAAUGGCUUACCAAGGCAACGACGGGUAGCCGAACUGAGAGAGUGAUAGGCGACAUGAGAGGGGAGCCGGCCACCAGGGGCCUACGGCAGGGACCAGUAGCCAACGGGAGGCAGCAGGGGAGAAUAUUGCACAAUGGGCGCAAGCCUGAUGCAGCGACGCCGGGUGAGUGAUGACGGCCUUCGGGUUGUAAACCUAUUUCAGUAGGGAAGAAGCGAAAGUGACGGUACCUGCAGAAGAAGCACCGGCUAACUACGUG